GUGGAGGUACAAGGUCCACAGAUCGUGAACUUCUUUUCCUCGAGAAGAAUCACUGACGAUAUCUAAUGAAUAAGUAUCAACUAACUCUGUGUUAGCAAUCGCGGUAAGACAGAGAAUGC
rnacentral:rRNA from 1 species